rnacentral:tRNA from 1 species
UGGGGCAUGGCCAAGUGGUAAGGCAACGGGUUUUGGUCCUGUUAUGCGGAGGUUUGAAUCCUUCUGUCCUAG